UCCAAUUCUCCCAAAAACUUUUAGGUUUUAUUUUGUGGCUAAAAACUUCAGCAUUUUUCUCUAUUGAAAUAUGCAGUUGUUGGAAUGUUUGAUUAAGUAGUUUAUGUUUCGUUUCUGAGAAAAA